AUCUUUUAAUGAAACCCUAAUGAAAUGCACAUCCAGUCAGAUUUUUUUACAUUUAUUCUUCAUUUGGCUAUUUAUUUUUGAAACCUCUCCCAACAACUCUAAACACAGUGGGGCAUAUCUUUUGACAAACAAUUAUUAUAUCUAUAUUUUUUUGAUUAAACAAUUUUAUCCUCUUAAUUUCUGAGUUCUUAAAACAGGGUUAAUUCAACCUUAUUUGUCAUCCAUCAAGUUGGUUAAUGACAACUGCUAAUAAGAAGUGUAAGCUGUAUGUGGGUGCAUGUAGACAUCUUUCUCUCUCCCACUAUAAUGGUACUAUUAGGAAAGAUACAGGCUAGUUUCUAUGUCGUCAUGCACUUCAACUUAAUACGCAUGCGUCAAUAUCAUCGCUUUUUAAAGGAAAAUAUCACUAAGUAAUUAACUUGAAGAUAAACCUUUGUUAACUGCUCCUUGUAUUAGGAGUGUCAGAAAAAGCUGCCCUAUGCUUAGCUCUGUGUGCAUGAAGGGUGUUUGAAUGGUCAGACGCUGUAGAGACCUGGGCCAACUCGGUACACAGGACGGGAGUAUCGACUGUAAAAAGGGGAAAGUCUCAUUUUAAUUUCUAGAGUAACAUUUAUCACUAAACACAUUUUAAGGAAACCUUGUGAAAGGGAAUCUCAAAAAUGGGGCUGCUUAGGUCGAGGCAUUUGGGGGGGGGGGCAGAAUAGAUGAUUGGAGCCCCUUCCUCAUAUUUGGGAGGUUGCAAGGAGAGUGGGAGGGGAGAUGUACAUGACAGAAUUCCCUCCCAGUGCAGUAAUGUCCUGCUCCAUGGAGAAUGAGAUUGAGGCUUUUGUGGGAAGUUUGCCCAAUGACUUGCAUGAGUGAUGUCACGCUGUCAUACUCUCGACUUCAUGGGCAGUUUUCCAGUUUGACAAUUUUAUAAUGGAUCCACUGUCAUGCUUACUGUCAAUGUUAACCUACAUAUUCACAGUCUGGCUGGGCUGUUUUGUAUCAGAACAAAAGGGACAGAAGAAUACACUGUAUGCUAUGCAAGUGCUUUCUAAACAGAUACUCUGACAAGGAAUCAUAGGUUUACAUAUGUUAAAAGGAUCUCCGACUACUUUGGUAGGCUGGUAGAUGUGUAUAGUCUAGGCCGAGGUAGUAAAGAUCUGUUGGUAUGUAAGGUGGUUACCAUGACACCCGGAUAGCAGAGGGUAGAUAAGAUCAGACGUUGUCGGCAUGUUUCAAAAGUGUUGCAUAAAGAUUUGUUGGUAUUUUUAUUGUUUUGAAAUGUAUAGGAAUGAAGGAUGUAGGGAAUGUUGUCCGUCUGGUGUAGAAUGAUUGUCCUGCUCCGUUAUGUCACCAUCACCAGCUAGGUGUUCUGUGUGCAAGGACUUUCGAAUAUUCAUUUUAUUUUGUGUGACUUGUGACAUUAAACUCUGUCAUUUUGUGGACUAGCAGGGUGUUUGUUACCUGCAGGUUAUACCAAGGGAAUGGCUGUGUGAGAGAGGUUAUACCAAGGGAAUGGCUGUGUGUGAGAGAGGUUAUAACAAGGGAAUGGCUGUGUGUGAGAGAGGUUAUAACAAGGGAAUGGCUGUGUGUGAGAGAGAGGUUAUAACAAGGGAAUGGCUGUGUGUGAGAGAGGUUAUACCAAGGGAAUGGCUGUGUGUGUGAGAGGUUAUACCAAGGGAAUGGCUGUGUGAGAGAGAGGUUAUAACAAGGGAAUGGCUGUGUGAGAGAGGUUAUAACAAGGGAAUGGCUGUGUGUGUGAGAGGUUAUAACAAGGGAAUGGCUGUGUGUGUGAGAGGUUAUAACAAGGGAAUGGCUGUGUGUGUGAGAGGUUAUACCAAGGGAAUGGCUGUAUGCAUGUUUUAGCCAGGUAAACUCCACUUCCUUGAAGAUGAAGCCAUGUUUUUGGGCACGGUUCCUCACCGGUAAAUGUCCAUUGUUUCCCUUACUAAUAUUGUCCCUGGAAUGACGUCAUUAAAACAAGUCACAACACACAGUCCAACGUAUGAUUUCUCCUGAGCACACACAGGUGGGGUACCUGUUAAUGAAAUGAACUGCUUUUUGUUAUUAUGUCUAUGGGAUACAAAGUGUAAGAUGGCAGUUUCAUAUCUAAGACUGUUGCUAGGUUAUCAAGGAACCACCAUGACUAGAAUGUGGAACAUUUGAAUUGAAGAAAACAAAUGUGAAAUGAAAAUGUUUAAUUGUUUGACGAAUGUAUGCUUAGUUGUAUUUUUUUAAACAUUUUAUUCAGGGUCUGGACAAAGUGCUUGAGGUGCUUAAAAUAAGUGAAUUUGGCACUCUGAAAUUCAAGUACUGGAAUACCUUGAAAAUCAGACAAUUUCUCCAGUUGGUACAUGAGAAGUACUUGAUCAGAUAUGUUUAAGAAUUUAUUAUUAUUAUUUUUGUUAAAUGUAUUGGUCUUGCAUAUUAAUUACCAGGCAGAGUACAGUGUUAUUUCCUCACGUUUGGCGCUCUAGUUGCCAGGUGACCACACCACACCAGCACCAGGCUGGUGCAGAACUGACUGAUUUAUGUGUCACCAAACGUCACAUCAAUAGCUAAAACGCUGGGCAAAUGUAGAUUAAAUCCUGGCUUUUGUGCGUAUGGAACAUUUCUGGGUUCUUAUAUUUCAGAUCAUGAAAUAUGGGACCAACACGUCACAUGUUGGGUUUUAUAUUUUUGAUCAGUGUAGCUUACCUACCUAUCACUGGACCCAAUCAACCCAUACCGUGUAAGAUGCAAACAAUGUGUCAGACUUUGACAUGGCUGAAUCGGCCCUGAAGAGCCACAUGAAGGGCGGAAGACAACGCUGCACCGGCGCCAGUUCUACAUCGUGACCUUUUUCUCUGUAACAACUUCCAGAGCUUUUUGUUUUUACCAACCGCCUCGUUCACGCAUCGGCAGCGAAAUUCAGCUUUAUUAAGCGGCCGCCGUGCUCCUGCCGUUCUGGUGGCCAUUCAGGUGCCGUUUCCCCGCACACAGCCCACCCAACCUUCUCCCGACCCGCGACUAGAGCUGCCAUUCAGGUGCCGUUUCCCCUCACACAGCCCACCCAACCUUCUCCCGACCCGCGACUAGAGCUGCCAUUCAGGUGCCGUUUCCCCUCACACAGCCCACCCAACCUUCUCCCGACCCGCGACUAGAGCUGCCAUUCAGGUGCCGUUUCCCCUCACACAGCCCACCCAACCUUCUCCCGACCCGCGACUAGAGCUGCCAUUCAGGUGCCGUUUCCCCUCACACAGCCCACCCAACCUUCUCCCGAACCGCGACUAGAGCUGCCAUUCAGUAAACAAGAUGCUUUUGUGUAGCUAUUAAGUCGUAGAUUCCCAAAUGCCCAAUUUAAAAACACAAUAGUCCGAAAGCUGGAAUUGUGGAGUAAUGUGAAAUGUGUUCACCAUUAGGCAUUGCCCAAAACUCUGCUCAUCACUACUCGAAAUUACAACAUCAGUACUGACUUACUGUUCAUGUAUGUAAUACAUAAGUAGAGAAAUAAUGUAUUAUUGAGUAGAAUUUGUAAGGUAGUGAUGAAAUAGUAAGUUGUUUUUUUUCCAUCAGGUUGUGGUGUUAUACUGACAUCUGGUGGUGACUAGAAGCAAUUGCAUAAAAGGAACUAUUACAGAUUGAUGACCCUUGAAAAUAACUAUUAGUGCUUGAAAAAGUACUUAAAAAUCCUUGAUUUUGACUUACCACUGUCUGUACGAACCUUGAUUUAUUGUGUGGCAGAGCCAGGCAAACAGGUCCCCAAUUGGCUAAACGCUCACUGAGACUUCAUUAUGGGUGUUUCUUUGCUAUGAUACUUCAGUAGCCUUGUUUUGUUCAUUAUCACCGCGUCAUUGCCUUCUUAUGUGUGACUUUUAGAGGUUGAUGCUUAUUCAAACUGCUGAAGCAUUUACAAAAAAAUUAAUAUGUUGUUUAGCAGUUGGCGAACAAGCUUCACCCAUUUUAUAUUGUUUGUUGCGCAUCUCUGCAAAUGAAGGUGAUUGUUUACAAUGAUUUGGUAAAUACCAGUUUUUAUCCCCAUCUUGUUUAUUCUCGCUUCUAUCAUGGACAUCUUUGGUACAAUUGAAAAAAAUAAUGUUUUUGUGUGUUCUACACAUUUGUGUUACUUCAUGAAUAUGAUAUUGCCUUUCUUGUAUUAAACUAUGGGGAAAGAGAACGUCGCCAUUUUGAAGUAUGUACACACUGACUUUUAUCACCUUGGGAGAACAAAGUAGAUUUUGCAAUUUGUAAACAGUUUUAGUCAGUUAAAAUCAUUAGCUAUUAGUAAGUCCUUUUUUAGAAGAGAAACAACGUCAGUUUACAUUGUCUUUUUCUUUUGAAAAAUAAACGAUUGUGAUUUAUUGCACAUUUUGGAUACAGUUGAAGUUUUUGUAUAAAUUAUAAAUAAAAACUAUAUUCAGA